GCUCCUUGGCAGCCUGGUUGUGGCAGGAGCUGGGCUGCCAGACAGUCCGCUGCAAGCUCAGCACAGAGGCAGAACUUGCCUAAAUUAACGCUGGCCAUGAAAUGUCCAAGGAAGCCGACUGGGCCGUCGCGACAGUGGCUACUCCUCCCCUCUUUCCAGUGUUCCGUCCUUGGAGCUUGUGUUUCAGUCCCUGCAUCAUUUUCUUCUGGUCGGAGGAAACAGUAAGAAACCGCAGGCCGCGCUCCUCCCUGAGGUCACCCGCCGAAGCCAGCUGAGGAAUCCGGCCCCACGCUUUCAGCCUGGGUUUCAGGAGCAACUUGCCCUACUCCUGCUGGGGGAGCUGUGAGACUGGAUUCAUUGAAGUCUGUGAAGCAUCUUCAGAUCCUGGGUGGAAGGUGCUGGGGAAGGGCAGCGGGCUGUGAUUACAGGAAGAGGUAAAGGCUCUAUGGGUGCAGCAGAGAAAUCAAUGAAGUGUCCCCAGGAGCGGGUCCAGUGUGCUGUGGAAUAAAAUCGAUGGCUCCAUCCCAAGGAGACAGGAGCCCCAGAGAUGCUUGCUGUCUAAUUAGGAGCUAAAGCCGAGAGGCCUGGAGGAGGAGGAAGGAGACGAAUCCAGGCUGCUGCAGUGGAGAGCCGAGUGCGGGGUCCAUGGCACCCACAUUCCGACCAAGCAAGCUCCGUGGGACUGAUGUCAUUCGAACGCCAGCCAGAGCCAGGAAUGUGCAGCUUCAAGAGCAUCAGAUUUUCCAGCUGCCGGAUCCAGGACCCCACGGCUGGGCCAAUGUUCCUGUCUCUCAAACACGUUCCAGCCAGAUGUAAGCAGCCUCUGUGAUGAACCCCAGGACAGACACCCCCGUGGCGUCCCAGCCAGAAAGCAAACGUCGGAGAGAUGUAGGUGGGGGAUGGGGAGCAGCGCAUCUGUGUGGGCCUCAGGGGGCAGAGCAGCUGCUCGGGAUGCCAGCAGAGACUCACAAAACACACCGUGUUUAAACCCGUGUGGAACUCGUUUGUGGCCCAGCUGGUGUCCCUAUGUGUUUGGAUUCCCCUCCCACCCUCUCCCGCUUGUGUGGACAGGAAAAAAGCAAUUAAACGUGCCCUAACCAUGUACCGGAACCAUCAGAACCCCGAUCCCCCUCCCCAGCAUGUUUAUAAUGUGGUCUGUGCCUGUCCACCUAGCCGGGGAAAAUUCAAGUUAGAACAUAGCUGAACCCCACCUGGGUUUAAACCUGGUGAUUUCUUGCAGUGUAGAUGGGACCUGAGGACCCGGCUAUCUUGGCACUCGUAUGGCCUUCGUCACAGUAUUACCUGCAUGCCUCACUGGUGGAUUUUUAUCCUGAGUCCGGGAAGGAUCGUCCCCCCUGGGGAGCUGAGGCACUUGACAGAACUCAGCAAGGAAUGGCACCCCCUUGACUCCCAGGCCAGGCCAAUGCCCAUCCUACUAGGCCACCUCCUUCCUACCCACACAGAGAUGGCAAAGACCUGUUAGACCACCCAAGCUAGGGCAGGCUGCAGUCCCCUGAUACGGAGGGGCCUUGGCCAGAGCGUGAGGCACAGAGUCAGGAACUCUGAUUUAGUUGGGGUUGGUCCUGCUUUGAGCAGGGGGUUGGACUAGAUGACCUCCUGAGGUCUCUUCCAACCCUGAUAUUCUAUGAUUCUAUGAACUCCUGGGUCCCACUCCCAGCCCUGGCUUGCUGGGUAACAUCAUGCCUCUGUUUUGCCUUCUGUGAAAUGGGAGUAAACCUCCUGCCUGCCCUGCGGUGGGGAGGGUGAAGUGCUUCGGGAUCCUUGGCUAGCAGGGCAAUAGAAGGACUGUCACUCUGCACGAAGGCUUAGCCAGAUCAUCCCCACCCUGCUCAUAUGCAGCCUGAAGACACGGCAGGAAAAGCCACAGCUUAGUGAGGGGAAAGGAGCAGCAUGGGUCAGGGCUAACGGGGGGCAGGAGAAGAAUGGGGAACAGGACUCCUGUAAAUUGCACUUAGCCGGGUUAGUUCUGCUGGCAGCUGCCCCGGCCCUCUGAGCUAAUGAAAUGGUGCAGAAUGGAACAAUUCUCCCACAGUGAAUCAAUGCAGAAGGAGAUGAAGGAGGGGAACUAUGGGGAGGAAAUGCAUGUCUACAAUAAGAAAGGCUUCAGGGAAGGAAGCUGCUUUGUGCCCCAGCAGCUUGGGGCGGGGCUGCAGCAGCUGGGCCAGCAGCCCAUUGGUGGAUCUCAGCAGAAUGAGUCAAGCCCUUUGUGUCCUUUAAACAUGCCUGUCACAGCAAAGGCAGAUGGGACCCUUUGCACCUUUGCUCUGCUUAGCAGGGGUGUUGAACCUGUGUGUGCGUGUACCGGCUGUGUGUACAUGGAGGUGGAUGCGUUGCAAUCAGAGAGGCGCGUGUGUGAGGCUGUGGUUUCUGUGCAUGCAGCGGAUCGUGCUAUUGCCCAGGGCUCAGAUUCAGCUUUUGCCAGCCCUUCCUGCUCCAAAUCCCACUGAAGUCAAUAGAAAGCCCCCGAUGGGGCUGGAUCAGGCCUGAGCUGGUCACUUGGCCGGCAGGCCUCAGCCAAGGGGGGCACAUGUUUCUUCACACAAUUUGAGAAGCAAAAGCGAUUCCUUUGUCGCUGAGUCUAAACCAAAAGGCUCGUCACCACUGGAUGCAGGGUAAAAAAACACAUCGCAUUUGGAAACCCCCGGAAAAGUAUUCCUAUGAAUAAUAAAUAACGGUAAUGAGAUCUGACUAUUUCCCAAUUACUAAACAAAUAUCAACCAAUGCAUCUGACAAGCCGUUAACUUGCAGUGUGUUUUAAUCAUUCUUAUGCUUAUCUUUAAAAUCAGUAUAUGUUA